AGUGAACGCUGGCGGUAGGCCUAACACAUGCAAGUCGAACGGCAGCACAGUAAGAGCUUGCUCUUACGGGUGGCGAGUGGCGGACGGGUGAGGAAUACAUCGGAAUCUACUUUUUCGUGGGGGAUAACGUAGGGAAACUUACGCUAAUACCGCAUAUGACCUACGGGUGAAAGCAGGGGAUCUUCGGACCUUGCGCGAUUGAAUGAGCCGAUGUCGGAUUAGCUAGUUGGCGGGGUAAAGGCCCACCAAGGCGACGAUCCGUAGCUGGUCUGAGAGGAUGAUCAGCCACACUGGAACUGAGACACGGUCCAGACUCCUACGGGAGGCAGCAGUGGGGAAUCUUGGACAAUGGGCGCAAGCCUGAUCCAGCCAUGCCGCGUGAGUGAAGAAGGUCUUCGGAUUGUAAAGCCCUGUUGUUGGGAAAGAAAAGCAGCAGAUUAAUACCCCGCUGUUCUGACGGUACCCAAAGAAUAAGCACCGGCUAACUUCGUG
rnacentral:rRNA from 1 species